GAUGAACGCUAGCUACAGGCUUAACACAUGCAAGUCGAGGGGCAUCAGGAAGAAAGCUUACUUUCUUUGCUGGCGACCGGCGCACGGGUGAGUAACACGUAUCCAACCUGCCCUUUACUCGGGGAUAGCCUUUCGAAAGAAAGAUUAAUACCCGAUGGCAUAAUGAUUCCGCAUGGUUUCAUUAUUAAAGGAUUCCGGUAAAGGAUGGGGAUGCGUUCCAUUAGGUUGUUGGUGAGGUAACGGCUCACCAAGCCUUCGAUGGAUAGGGGUUCUGAGAGGAAGGUCCCCCACAUUGGAACUGAGACACGGUCCAAACUCCUACGGGAGGCAGCAGUGAGGAAUAUUGGUCAAUGGGCGCUAGCCUGAACCAGCCAAGUAGCGUGAAGGAUGAAGGCUCUAUGGGUCGUAAACUUCUUUUAUAUAAGAAUAAAGUGCAGUAUGUAUACUGUUUUGUAUGUAUUAUAUGAAUAAGGAUCGGCUAACUCCGUGCCAGCAGCCGCGGUAAUACGGAGGAUCCGAGCGUUAUCCGGAUUUAUUGGGUUUAAAGGGAGCGUAGGUGGACUGGUAAGUCAGUUGUGAAAGUUUGCGGCUCAACCGUAAAAUUGCAGUUGAUACUGUCAGUCUUGAGUACAGUAGAGGUGGGCGGAAUUCGUGGUGUAGCGGUGAAAUGCUUAGAUAUCACGAAGAACUCCGAUUGCGAAGGCAGCUCACUGGACUGCAACUGACACUGAUGCUCGAAAGUGUGGGUAUCAAACAGGAUUAGAUACCCUGGUAGUCCACACAGUAAACGAUGAAUACUCGCUGUUUGCGAUAUACAGUAAGCGGCCAAGCGAAAGCAUUAAGUAUUCCACCUGGGGAGUACGCCGGCAACGGUGAAACUCAAAGGAAUUGACGGGGGCCCGCACAAGCGGAGGAACAUGUGGUUUAAUUCGAUGAUACGCGAGGAACCUUACCCGGGCUUAAAUUGCAGUGGAAUGAUGUGGAAACAUGUCAGUGAGCAAUCACCGCUGUGAAGGUGCUGCAUGGUUGUCGUCAGCUCGUGCCGUGAGGUGUCGGCUUAAGUGCCAUAACGAGCGCAACCCUUAUCUUUAGUUACUAACAGGUUAUGCUGAGGACUCUGGUGAGACUGCCGUCGUAAGAUGUGAGGAAGGUGGGGAUGACGUCAAAUCAGCACGGCCCUUACGUCCGGGGCUACACACGUGUUACAAUGGGGGGGUACAGAAGGCAGCUAGCGGGUGACCGUAUGCUAAUCCCAAAAUCCUCUCUCAGUUCGGAUCGAAGUCUGCAACCCGACUCCGUGAAGCUGGAUUCGCUAGUAAUCGCGCAUCAGCCACGGCGCGGUGAAUACGUUCCCGGGCCUUGUACACACCGCCCGUCAAGCCAUGGGAGCCGGGGGUACCUGAAGUACGUAACCGCAAGGAUCGUCCUAGGGUAAAACUGG
rnacentral:rRNA from 1 species